rnacentral:rRNA from 1 species
CUACGUGCCAGCAGCCGCGGUAAUACGUAGGUGGCGAGCGUUGUCCGGAAUCAUUGGGCGUAAAGGGAGCGCAGGCGGGCAUGUAAGUCUUUCUUAAAAGUUCGGGGCUCAACCCCGUGAUGGGAAAGAAACUACAUGUCUUGAGUACAGGAGAGGAAAGCGGAAUUCCCAGUGUAGCGGUGAAAUGCGUAGAUAUUGGGAGGAACACCAGUGGCGAAGGCGGCUUUCUGGACUGCAACUGACGCUGAGGCUCGAAAGCCAGGGGAGCGAACGGGAUUAGAUACCCCGGUAGUCCUGGCCGUAAACGAUGGAUACUAGGUGUGGGAGGUAUCGACCCCUACCGUGCCGGAGUUAACGCAAUAAGUAUCCCGCCUGGGGAGUACGGUCGCAAGACUGAAACUCAAAGGAAUUGACGGGGGCCCGCACAAGCGGUGGAGUAUGUGGUUUAAUUCGACGCAACGCGAAGAACCUUACCAGGUCUUGACAUUGAUGGACAGAACUAGAGAUAG